GAUGAACGCUGGCGGCGUGCCUAAUACAUGCAAGUCGAACGCUGAAGGAGGAGCUUGCUCUUUCCGGAUGAGUUGCGAACGGGUGAGUAACGCGUAGGUAACCUGCCUGGUAGCGGGGGAUAACUAUUGGAAACGAUAGCUAAUACCGCAUAACAGUAGAUAUUGCAUGAUAUUUGCUUGAAAGGGGCAAUUGCUCCACUACCAGAUGGACCUGCGUUGUAUUAGCUAGUUGGUGAGGUAACGGCUCACCAAGGCGACGAUACAUAGCCGACCUGAGAGGGUGAUCGGCCACACUGGGACUGAGACACGGCCCAGACUCCUACGGGAGGCAGCAGUAGGGAAUCUUCGGCAAUGGACGGAAGUCUGACCGAGCAACGCCGCGUGAGUGAAGAAGGUUUUCGGAUCGUAAAGCUCUGUUGUAAGAGAAGAACGAGUGUGAGAGUGGAAAGUUCACACUGUGACGGUAGCUUACCAGAAAGGGACGGCUAACUACGUG
rnacentral:rRNA from 1 species